GAUCCUGGCUCAGGAUGAACGCUAGCUACAGGCUUAACACAUGCAAGUCGAGGGGCAGCAUGAACUUAGCUUGCUAAGUUUGAUGGCGACCGGCGCACGGGUGAGUAACGCGUAUCCAACCUACCCUUGUCCACCGGAUAACCCGUCGAAAGGCGGCCUAACACGAUAUGCGGUUCACCGCAGGCAUCUAACGUGAACGAAAUGUGAAGGAGAAGGAUGGGGAUGCGUCUGAUUAGCUUGG
rnacentral:rRNA from 1 species